GACGAACGCUGGCGGCGUGCCUAAUACAUGCAAGUCGAGCGCAGGAAACUGACGGAACUCUUCGGAGGGAAGGCAGCGGAAUGAGCGGCGGACGGGUGAGUAACACGUAAGGAACCUGCCUCAAGGAUUGGGAUAACUCCGAGAAAUCGGAGCUAAUACCGGAUAGUUCAACGGACCGCAUGGUCCGCUGAUGAAAGGCGCUUCGGCGUCACCGUGCGAUGGCCUCGGGGUGCAUUAGCUAGUUGGUGGGGUAACGGCCCACCAAGGCGACGAUGCAUAGCCGACCUGAGAGGGUGAUCGGCCACACUGGGACUGAGACACGGCCCAGACUCCUACGGGAGGCAGCAGUAGGGAAUCUUUCACAAUGGGCGCAAGCCUGAUGACGCAACGCCGCGUGGAGGAUGAAGGUCUUCGGAUUGUAAACUCCUGUUGCUCGGGAGGAAAAGCUCCGACCUAACACGUCGGAGUCUGACGGUACGGGGUGAGGAAGCCCCGGCUAACUCUGUGCCAGCAGCCGCAGUAACAC
rnacentral:rRNA from 1 species